GACGAACGCUGGCGGCGUGCUUAACACAUGCAAGUCGAACGGAAAGGCCCUGCUUUUGUGGGGUGCUCGAGUGGCGAACGGGUGAGUAACACGUGAGUAACCUGCCCUUGACUUUGGGAUAACCUCAGGAAACUGGGGCUAAUACCGGAUAGGAGCUCCUGCUGCAUGGUGGGGGUUGGAAAGUUUCGGCGGUUGGGGAUGGACUCGCGGCUUAUCAGCUUGUUGGUGGGGUAGUGGCUUACCAAGGCUUUGACGGGUAGCCGGCCUGAGAGGGUGACCGGCGACAUUGGGCCUGAGAUACGGCCCAGACUCCUACGGGAGGCAGCAGUGGGGAAUAUUGCACAAUGGGCGGAAGCCUGAUGCAGCAACGCCGCGUGCGGGAUGACGGCCUUCGGGUUGUAAACCGCUUUCGCCUGUGACGAAGCGUGAGUGACGGUAAUGGGUAAAGAAGCACCGGCUAACUACGUG
rnacentral:rRNA from 1 species